rnacentral:lncRNA from 1 species
CAAAUCAAAAAGCAAAACAAAACAAAAACAAAAACAAAAACAAACAAACAAAAAAAAGAACCACCGGGGAGUAUCUUCUGAUUCUGUGGUACUUUAAGUCCCUUGGCUUCUCCUGGAAGUUGUCCGUCUAGCUGGUGUUCUGGGGGAGGGGCCUGUUGUGCUGAUUUUCAGGUGUUAGCAGUUGGGGGAGCUGCUGUGCCUCUGCCUGGUGCAGGGCUCGGUGGGGGUUGUUUACCCCGUGAGGCCGCAGGAGGAACAGCCCCAGUGGCGGGGCAGCUCUGGAAACCUGGAUUCAGCUCCGGCAGGAACUCCGUCUGCAGGGCCUGGAGGCUCCGGGCGGGGCCGCUGAUCUGCUCAGCUGGGGCAGGAGCGUCCUCGCUGUCCUGGGCCCUCCCGGCCUCUGCCUGGCCCGGGGGAGGCGGGAUCCUGGGCUGUGUCCCGGCGCCCUGUGCUCCGGAGCCUGCGCUGGUGGAUUCGCGCUCCAGGGCCGCAGCCCCCUCCGCGGAGCCGCCGCCCGAGCCCCUCCGAGCUGCUCCUGGAACCGCGCAGCCCCCUCCGCACGGAGCCUCUUCCUCUGCCCGAGCCCCUCCGAGCUGCUCCCGGGGCCGCGCAGCCCCCUCCGCGGAGCCGCCGCCCGAGCCCCUUCAGCUGCUCCGGGUCCGGCCGGGUCCCGCCGUGCGCGCUGCAGCCCUUAGGGAGCUCGGCGCACUCUCCUGGGCGCGCAGUUGCUGUUACUGUCCCCGGGAGCCCGAGGGCAUCCUCGCCCUCCUGGGUCCUGCUCCAACUCCCCGCGAGCCCCUUUCCCCCGGGAAGGUCGGUGCAGCUCCUGCUCCUCCGGGACGGGGCUCUCCUGUCCUGGGGACACUCGCCCCGGCCUCAGCCCGGCUCCUCGCGGGGCCCCUCCCCCUUGGAGGCCUUUGUUCCUUUAUUUCUUUUUCCCCGUCUUCCUACCUUGAUAGAUGCGCGAACUCUUCUCACUGUAGCAUUCCAGCUGGUCUCUCUUUAAAUCUCAGGCCGAAUUCAUAGAUUUUCAGGAUAAUUUGAAGGUUUUCUAGGUAGUUUGGUGGAGACAGGUGAUUUGG